rnacentral:rRNA from 1 species
UACAGAGGUCCCAAGCGUUGUUCGGAUUCACUGGGCGUAAAGGGUGCGUAGGUGGUGAGGUAAGUCGGAUGUGAAAUCUCCGAGCUCAACUCGGAAAUGGCAUUGGAAACUACCUUGCUAGAGGGUUGGAGGGGGGACUGGAAUGCUUGGUGUAGCAGUGAAAUGCGUAGAUAUCAAGCGGAGCACCAGUGGCGAAGGCGAGUCCCUGGACAACUCCUGACACUGAGGCACGAAAGCUAGGGGAGCAAACAGG